AGAGUUUGAUCAUGGCUCAGGAUGAACGCUGGCGGCGUGCUUAACACAUGCAAGUCGAACGAACCUUCGGGUUAGUGGCGGACGGGUGAGUAACGCGUGAGAAUCUGCCCUCAGGAGGGGGAUAACGGCUGGAAACGGCCGCUAAUACCCCAUAUGCCGCGAGGUGAAAUGAAUUUCGCCUGAGGAUGAGCUCGCGUCUGAUUAGCUAGUUGGUGUAGGUAAUGGCUCACCAAGGCGUCGAUCAGUAGCUGGUCUGAGAGGAUGAUCAGCCACACUGGGACUGAGACACGGCCCAGACUCCUACGGGAGGCAGCAGUGGGGAAUUUUCCGCAAUGGGCGAAAGCCUGACGGAGCAACGCCGCGUGAGGGAUGAAGGCCUCUGGGCUGUAAACCUCUUUUCUCAAGGAAGAAGAUCUGACGGUACUUGAGGAAUAAGCCACGGCUAAUUCCGUGCCAGCAGCCGCGGUAAUACGGGAGUGGCAAGCGUUAUCCGGAAUUAUUGGGCGUAAAGCGUCCGCAGGCGGCCCUUCAAGUCUGCUGUUAAAACGUGGAGCUUAACUCCAUCAUGGCAGUGGAAACUGUUGGGCUUGAGUGUGGUAGGGGCAGAGGGAAUUCCCGGUGUAGCGGUGAAAUGCGUAGAUAUCGGGAAGAACACCAGUGGCGAAGGCGCUCUGCUGGGCCAUAACUGACGCUCAUGGACGAAAGCCAGGGGAGCGAAAGGGAUUAGAUACCCCUGUAGUCCUGGCCGUAAACGAUGAACACUAGGUGUCGGGGGAAUCGACCCCCUCGGUGUCGUAGCCAACGCGUUAAGUGUUCCGCCUGGGGAGUACGCACGCAAGUGUGAAACUCAAAGGAAUUGACGGGGGCCCGCACAAGCGGUGGAGUAUGUGGUUUAAUUCGAUGCAACGCGAAGAACCUUACCAGGGUUUGACAUCCUGCGAAUCUCUUGGAAACGAGAGAGUGCCUUCGGGAACGCAGUGACAGGUGGUGCAUGGCUGUCGUCAGCUCGUGUCGUGAGAUGUUGGGUUAAGUCCCGCAACGAGCGCAACCCACGUUUUUAGUUGCCAGCAUUUAGUUGGGCACUCUAGAAAGACCGCCGGUGAUAAACCGGAGGAAGGUGUGGAUGACGUCAAGUCAUCAUGCCCCUUACACCCUGGGCUACACACGUACUACAAUGCUACGGACAAAGGGCAGCAAACUCGCGAGAGCUAGCAAAUCCCAUAAACCGUGGCUCAGUUCAGAUCGUAGGCUGCAACUCGCCUACGUGAAGUAGGAAUCGCUAGUAAUCGCAGGUCAGCAUACUGCGGUGAAUACGUUCCCGGGCCUUGUACACACCGCCCGUCACACCAUGGAAGUUGGCCAUGCCCGAAGUCGUUACUCCAACCCUUGUGGAGGAGGACGCCGAAGGUGGGGCUAAUGACUGGGGUGAAGUCGUAACAAGGUAACCGUA
rnacentral:rRNA from 1 species